CCUACGGGAGGCAGCAGUGGGGAAUAUUGGGCAAUGGAGGAAACUCUGACCCAGCGACGCCGCGUGAGGGAUGAAGGCCUUCGGGUUGUAAACCUCUUUCAGUAGGGAAGAAGCGAAAGUGACGGUACCUACAGAAGAAGCACCGGCUAACUAUGUGCCAGCAGCCGCGGUAAUACAUAGGGUGCAAGCGUUGUCCGGAAUUAUUGGGCGUAAAGAGCUCGUAGGUGGUUCGAUACGUCGGAUGUGAAAAUCAGGGGCUCAACCCCUGACCUGCAUCCGAUACGGUCGAGCUAGAGUUUGGUAGGGGAGACUGGAAUUCCUGGUGUAGCGGUGGAAUGCGCAGAUAUCAGGAGGAACACCGAUGGCGAAGGCAGGUCUCUGGGCCAAUACUGACACUGAGGAGCGAAAGUGCGGGGAGCGAACAGGAUUAGAUACCCUGGUAGUCCGCACCGUAAACGGUGGGCACUAGUUGUGGGAACCUUCCACGGUUUCCGCGACGCAGCAAACGCAUUAAGUGCCCCGCCUGGGGAGUACGAUCGCAAGAUUAAAACUCAAAUGAAUUGACGG
rnacentral:rRNA from 1 species